rnacentral:rRNA from 1 species
GGCGUUCCUGUGAUUUGUACUACACUGCGUGAGCGGACGAAAACAACAACACCUAAAAUGUGGAAUAUAGCAUAUAGUCGACAAGAGAAAUCUACGAAAAACAAACAAAACUUUCAACAACGGAUCUCUUGGUUCUCGCAUCGAUGAAGAGCGCAGCGAAAUGCGAUACCUAGUGUGAAUUGCAGCCAUCGUGAAUCAUCGAGUUCUUGAACGCACAUUGCGCCCCUCGGCAUUCCGGGGGGCAUGCCUGUUUGAGCGUCGUUUCCAUCUUGCGCGUGCGCAGAGUUGGGGGAGCGGAGCGGACGACGUGUAAAGAGCGUCGGAGCUGCGACUCGCCUGAAAGGGAGCGAAGCUGGCCGAGCGAACUAGACUUUUUUUCAGGGACGCUUGGCGGCCGAAAGCGAGUGUUGCGAGACAACAAAAAGCUCGACCUCAAAUCAGGUAGGAAUACCCGCUGAACUUAAGCAUAUCAAUAAGCGGAGGAA